CCAAGAACUCCUGUCCUAAGAGGCUUGAGGAACAAAACGCCUUUGAAGUUUCUGCAGACAUGGUGUUACAGAAGGCACAGCCUGCGCCUGUUGGCAGCCUGUGCCAGCUGAGGACAGGAGUUGGUGCACUGCUUUCUGUGGCCGUAGGACUGGACUCUGCAGGAGGAGGAUUUCAGACAGCCACCACAGCACCUCUGCACUCUUUUUGUCUGGAUGCUGCUAAAAUCUGAGCAAACCCUUCAGGCAGACGUCAAGGAACAACCAGAAAAUCCAACCCCCGGCCCCAGAUAAUUCCCUCGGCACAAAAGGCAUCAGCUGGAAGCUCUGCAGUCCCUCUCCUGCAUCAGGUCCCUGCUGAAAAGUUGCUGCACAGUGUUACAGGGUGGUUCCUGGCCUUCGAUUCUGACAUACAGCAGCUGUUACGCUGAAAGGAAUUUCUGAACUGUGCUCAAGUCCCUGGAAGCUUCUCCCCGCUGGACAAUGGCUGUCUACUUCCUGCAGUUCCUCUUCAUAUCUAGCUGUUCAGCAACAUAUGUGUAAGGGGUUUGUGCUUUCAGCUGCUUCCCAGUGGACAUGACUGUACAUCAGACCUGUGGUGGGCACCUUGGCUGACAGGCUCAGCACAACGCAACCUCCCCCCACAUGCUCUAGGUCUGGCGUGAAGAGUGUUGGCAAGGACAUACUGAUUUGCAUUACAAGGCUUGGAAGAAAACAUGCAUUUCAUCUGCUAUGACAGUUGGCCUUCUGAAUUACACUUAUCAGCCAUAUUAGCCCAGUGACAUUUGGCAGAAGAGGACCAGAGGUUGGUAGUAGUAUUCUUGCAUAUCAGGGACAAUGCAUGGCUCUGGAUUUCUGCAUUCUCUUCUGCACUUCAGUGGCAUUUUAAAAUGUGACAGCUGUGAAUUAGCUCAGCUAUUUACUGGCUAGAUUGCACAUGGCUCACUGACAGAGAAGGUGCAAUAGAUUUUUUUCUUCCCUUCACUUAGUGUUUGCUAUCCACCAGGAAAGCUGCUGCAGCCAAAUAUAAUAGCGGUCACAGGCCUGUGUAAGACUCUGCUGAUCUAUUUGCCUUGCUAAUUUCCAUAGACAGUUAUGUUUGCAUCUGCGGUCUGUCUCGGCAGGAGGAUCUUCCUUUUACAACGGUGUGUGGUUGUGCUAUGUGAUAAUGAAGAUGAAGGAGGCUGCGCACCUGAAUUCCAGCCCUGGCAGAGUCUCGAGGCUCACCCUUGUGAGCUGUUGUUCGGGUGCUAAUGGUGCUUCUGCCUCUCACAUGGUCUGCCUGAUUGGUGUUCCCUGCUGAAUUGUACUCUGUAAUGAGCAGUAAUGCAUCAUGUGAAGUUCACGUAGCCCCUGUGCCACUACUUUGUCUUCCUCAGUAGGAAAAGAAAAAAUAAAAAC